rnacentral:rRNA from 1 species
AUUGAACGCUGGCGGCAGGCCUAACACAUGCAAGUCGAACGGUAACAGGAAGAAGCUUGCUUCUUUGCUGACGAGUGGCGGACGGGUGAGUAAUGUCUGGGAAACUGCCUGAUGGAGGGGGAUAACUACUGGAAACGGUAGCUAAUACCGCAUAACGUCGCAAGACCAAAAAGGGGGACCUUCGGGCCUCUUGCCAUCGGAUGUGCCCAGAUGGGAUUAGCUAGUAGGUGGGGUAACGGCUCACCUAGGCGACGAUCCCUAGCUGGUCUGAGAGGAUGACCAGCCACACUGGAACUGAGACACGGUCCAGACUCCUACGGGAGGCAGCAGUGGGGAAUAUUGCACGAUGGGCGCAAGCCGGAUGCAGCCAUGCCGCGUGUAUGAAGAAGGCCUUCGGGUUGUAAAGUACUUUCAGCGGGGAGGAAGGGAGUAAAGUUAAUACCUUUGCUCAUUGACGUUACCCGCAGAAGAAGCACCGGCUAACUCCG